rnacentral:lncRNA from 1 species
CGUGCACUGGUACUCAACAUUGCUGCUUUGCUUAUUGUAGAGGCAUGAAGGUCAUUAAUAAUAUAUGCAAUAAUUAGGAUUUUUUUUUCAGUGUUCAAUUAAUAGAAUCCUGUUCAUAGCAUAUAUGAAUUGCAAAUGUGAUCAGAAAAGCAUUUUUGUUGAAGAAUUUCCCCACGGACUAGCGCUAUAAAAAGACUCCAUUCAGCUGGCAAUCUAUUCAUCUCAGGCUGGAGUUAAAGGAACAGGAUGUUUUCAGAAUCAAUUGCAGUUAAUGAAGCAAACAAUCAGAAUAAAUAUGUUUUCAGCCCAGCACAAGAGACCAAUGCUGCUGGAAAAGGAGGAGGAGAUGAGGAGAACUAACUCACC